AGCGGCGAACGGGUGAGUAACACGUGAGCAACCUGCCCCUGACUCUGGGAUAAGCCGGGGAAACCCGGUCUAAUACCGGAUACGACACUUCACCGCAUGGUGGGGUGUGGAAAGUUGUUUCGGUUGGGGAUGGGCUCGCGGCCUAUCAGCUUGUUGGUGGGGUAGUGGCCUACCAAGGCGGUGACGGGUAGCCGGCCUGAGAGGGCGACCGGCCACACUGGGACUGAGACACGGCCCAGACUCCUGCGGGAGGCAGCAGUGGGGAAUAUUGCGCAAUGGGCGGAAGCCUGACGCAGCGACGCCGCGUGGGGGAUGACGGCCUUCGGGUUGUAAACCUCUUUUACCACUGACGCAGGCCCCCAUAUUUGUGGGGGUUGACGGUAGGUGGGGAAUAAGGACCGGCCAACUACGUGCCAGCAGCCGCGGUAAUACGU
rnacentral:rRNA from 1 species